AGCAAGUCUAAAAUCAUUCACGAUAUUAGGAAUUUCAUCUGUUCUUAGUCGCCUUGGAGGUGUGAACUGUGCAACACCAAAGCCAUUACCUCGAAUUUGAGGGGUCAAACCUUUGUCUGUUGAAGAGAUUGGAGCCUGCCCAUUUGGCUGAAAACCUAAACAGAGAUAGUAGAAACAAAAUAAAGAUCCAGGUUUAAAGAACAAAGCCUUCAUAAAACAAAGCAGUUUUACCGCAUGAAUUUCAAAAGAAUAAUUAAGAAUCAUUAAAAAUAUCAAGAAUUGAUUCUUAUAGCCAUUUGGAACAGAAAUUCAUUCCACCGACAAACUUCACUAGAGGUUAAAAGCAGGAUUUAAUAAAACCCAAUAUCAAAAAAACACAAGUAAGGCCAAGUAUCAUGCCAAAAAAAAUUGUGCUGAUGAAACUCUAGUGUCGAGAAAUGGGGAAUAUAACAGAAGUCUUUUUAGUAAGCUCAAGACUCAAGUUCAUCCAAAGUGACAAAACAAGCACAAAAUUUAAGUGAUGGAAGCAACACCAAUAUACCAAAUUUAAACAAGAAAGUACCUGAAUUUGAAAUUCUUCCAACAUGCCAAAUUUGACAAAAGAAGAUGCCGCCUUUGGCAUGAACAGCAUCUACAAUUGGUUUCCAUGCCUCAACUUGUUCUUUGGUCCAGAUACCAGGAGUAUCAGGAUACCUUCAAUUAAUAAAUGCAAAUAAACCAAAAACAUUAAUUAUUAUCAAAGUUCAAAUUCUUGAAGCUAAGAAAGCAAAUAAUACCAAACUUUACUUUACCUAUACAUUUUGAACAUAAAAACUAGGCAGAUAAUAACAAAACAAAAAUUACCCUUGAGCAGUGUCAGAAACUCCGGUUGCUUCAGAUAUAAGAAGACCUCCUUUGGUGGAUCUUUGGGAAUAAUAUAAAAUGGCAUGUGGCUGAGGAAUAUUGUGGUAGGAUCUCUGCCUGGUUAAUGGUGCUAGGACAACCCUGAAAAAGAGACAUUAAAUAGGAAAUAAUAUAAUUAAAGCUUCUAACUUUCUUAGCCAAAAAGUUAGCAAAUAGAACUUGAUCCUUAUAGGACUUUCCUAUGACUUUAUCCAUUAGAACAGUUUGAUAAAAAUUACACAGGCCAAGCAACUUAUACAUUAACAGUUUGAUUAAAAUCAUUGAGCAAUGAAUCAACUAUGCCUAGGAUAAGAUACAUUUACUUUUCAGAAAACAGUUCCACCAUUUCUAAGAUCCAAUCCCUAUUCUACAGAAGGGUAUUGCUGAUUAAUGAAUAAUAAAAGUGUUAGUGUUUGGAUAGUAGCUAGUACUCAAGUGUAUGAACAACAAAAUAACUAAUUUAGAACAAGAUUCAAGCACUAAUAGUAUUUCAUUUAGGACUUUUCACAAACACUCAACUAAAUGCAAAUCAUCCCCAACAAAACAUCAAAAUUCACACAAUAUGAAUCAACGAAUUAGUACAUUACCUAUGAGAAAGAUUGAACUUCCCCAUCUUGUACGGGGUGAGAAGAGCAAUACUGGGAGAUUGACCAGACAUUAUAGUGUCUUGUUCUUGAUCUUGUUCUUGCAUUGUGUCUUCAAUACUAAUUUACAGUAAAUUGUAAGAGACUUGGACUUUUAUCACUCUUUUUGCUAAUAAUAAUGGUGAAGAUGAAAUGAAGACAAGUGGGAUUUUAAAGAGCCCAACAACCGACAAGCCGGCGGCGGCGACCCCUUCAGGUUAGCGUUCAGGAGCGGGACAUGAAUGAAUCUGGUCCUAUUAACCGCACCAUCCAAGCUAUGGUUCUUCCUUUUGUCUUUCGCUUUGACGUAGCUGCUGACGGAUGGUUCUGUUGAAUAUUGGAUGUUUAGAAGCAAAAAGCAAGAAGUAUAUUUAUCUAUUUAAUUAAAAUAAGAAGAAAUUAGAUCUGUGAUUUAAGAAGUAUAACUAGUCCGUACUUGUGUAUUUGAAACGAGUAAAAUACUCUUUUAUUUCUUCUCAUUUGAUAUAUUUUAGUAUUAAAUUAAUAUCUUUCCUUUGGUUAUUUUUAUUUUCUUGUUGAUUCGGCUGCAAAGAUAUAAAAUGUAAGAAAGCAAAAUAUAUACACAAAUUACUCCUUCAAUUAUUUUAUAUUAUUUUUUUUAAUAAAAGGUGACCAAUUAAUUGUAUAUUUUACAGUUAUAGCAGUAGAAGCGGUAUUAGCACCAAUGCCUCCAUGAGAGAUCUCUGGCAAAGGAAUAGCUUGACUGCCGAGUCUUUAGCCUUUGACAUUUCUGUUGCUCUCGUUUUGUUUAUUAUUUCCCUUUCCCUGUUUUGUUCUGAUAAAACGAGAUUAGAGAUUGCAGCUCUGCAUUGUCGACGGAAAGAGAGGCUUUUGGGAAGGAGAUGAUGUUGGGUUAAGUUGGUACAGUGAAGGAGAUAAGGGAAGAGGUAUCCUAGAUUCUUAGAGAAGGGUUUAAGAUUGAAACGCACCGUUUAGUAGGGCUAUUCAUUGGUCAGUUUGAAUAUAAUAGUCGAACCAAACUUAAAGUAGGGUUUAGAAAAAAAAUCCAAAUCAAACCAUAAAAAUUUUCAAACUAAACUAAACCUUUGAUGGCAGUUUGAUUUUGUUUGAUUCAGUUUGACGGUUUUUACAGUUUGAAAUAAGAGAAAUUAAACUUCUUCGUUCAUCUAAUUAAUAAAAAAAAAAAAACAUUAUACUAAAUAUGAAAAAUGAAUUUAUAAAAAUUAUGCCAUAAAUUACACAUGAUUUUGAAUAGCUAUUAAAAGUUCUUAAAUUAAUUUCUUAUACGUAUAUUCUGAGUAUAGUAUAAAAAAAUAUUAUAUAUUUAAAAUAAUAAUUAAGCAAAUUAUAAAUAUAGAAUUUAAAUUUUGAUUUAAAUUCAUUUGUUGCUAAAAUUUAUAAAAAAGUAUAGUUUUUUUACGCAUAUGGUUUGUAUAUAUAUAUUAAUUUAAUUUUGCAUCAAUAGUUGAACAUUUUAUAAAAUAAUUUAUAAUUUAUCUAAUUAAUAAGAAAUUAUUGUUCAAUUAUUAUCCAUUAUAUCUUAUCUCACAAUUUACUAUCCAAUAUAAAUUAACCAGUAUAAAGAAAAUCUUUAUUCAAAAAGAUUGAAUAUAUAUACGGUUUAGUUUAGUUUGAACGGCUUUGACUUUAAAAUCGUAAAUAAAACCAAUAGUUCGAGUUUUAAAUUUUAUAAAAUUAAAAUAAACCUUUAACACAAUUUUAGAUUGAUUUAGAUUGGUUUGAAUCGAUUUAGACGGUUUAGGUAGUUUGAUGAACACCCCUACGGCUUAGUGUUAACGGGUCCACUUUAAAUUUUUUUGUUCAUUCGAGAAUCGGCUAAAUACAUAAUUUAACCCCUAAACCAUGAACUAUCAAAUUAAUCUUAUGGCACGCUGAACUUCACUUUUCAACAAUUUCAUACAUCUUUACAUUAAAAACAGUAAAUUUUAAAAAUUUUUGGCUUUUAUGCAAAAUGUUGGUUUGAUAUAUAGUUAGUACAACUUUUAGAACAAUAAUUUUACAUGUUUUAAUUUUUCACUAAGUGUUCAAUCGAUCUAGUUUUAUAAAUUGAGGUGUUCAAUAGAUAAAAUAAAGUAUUUAAUAGGUACAAUAAUUUUUCAAUAAGUAUUUAACAUGUACAAUUUUAUAAGUUGAAGUAUUCAAUGAAUCAAAAUAAAAGUUGAGAGCGUCAAGAUUUUUUGUGAAAAGUAUAUGAGUGAAUUUAUGCAUUGAGCCUUCAAGAAUCUCUAAUUUGAGAUUGGGAUUCAAUUAUAAUCAAAAUAUGAAAUUGGGUGCCACAGUGGUAAAAUUUAAAUUCGGGUAUAAAUUUAAAAAUUGCAAAGUUUAAGAUAUUAUUAAUAUUUUACUCAUUAUUUAUAUUUUGAGAAAAUAUUUUUUGCACAACUCUAUUGACGUAACCACUGAAGGAAUGAAGAUGGCCUAGAGGAAGCAAUGCCCCCCACCCCCCCCCUUGUUCAAUUGAUAGAAAUUUGCACAACUUGGAGGGGGCAAUGGCCUCCGCUUUAGAAAAGUAAUUUUUGUUUUUAAAUGAAAAAGUAAUUUAUUUUUGGUGAUUGAUAGAAGCUUGUAUAACUUGAGUCGUAACACAUUGGGAUCACGACUCCUAUUGCCAGGGUGAAUGAAUCAAUGAUUUUAUAAAAAUACUUAUUUGAAUCGGGUCUAUAAUCUCAUUUAUGAACUAAAUAAAUAAAAUUAAGAAUUUUUAAAAAAAUAUUUCAAUUAUAUUUUUUUUCUAUGUGUAUGGUAAAAAACAUUCUCGUUUCAGUAACGAUCUUUAAUUUCGUUGAUUUGAUUCAUAAGUGAAACCGUGGACCUGCCAACCUGAUCGAGGUAAGUUUUUUCCAUAAUUUUAUAUUAGAGAUGGCAAAUUUACGACUUCUAUAUUUUGUUUUGUUUUUUAACAAUAAUCACUAAUAAAUGUAAUUAUAAAGGUAAAAUUAUAGAGAAGUAACUAUAAGAUAAAACUAAUUUAUAAGUACUUUUAAUAAAAGAAAUAAAAUGCACCUACACCUUCUCACAAUUAAAUUUGCUGAAUACUCAGCCAUCCUUUUUUCUGCGGUCUCUCUCUAAGGGGAAAAAAAAAAAAAACUAAAAUCUUUCUUUUCUUUUUCCAUAGCCAGUCACCGUGAAAUAUCAUCGGUGGUCACCCCUUGUUUUCCUUAGUUUGUUUUUUUUUUUUUUCUAAAUAAUUCUCAGCUUUGUGUCUUUUGAUACAUAUCUGAAUUAUUAUUAUCCAUAUGUUGGGAUUAUUGUUGCUCAUAUUUUGAGAUUUUAUUUUCAGAUCUAGUCGUUUUGUUAUCACCAUUAUGGUAGUUUUAUUUAUGAUAUUUUGCUAUUUGGAUGGUUAUACAGAAAGAAGCACAAAUCUCCUUUUUGACGAAGGAAGAAAUUUGAAGAUAAUCAGAUCAGAUUUGUAGAAAGACCAUGAAAUCUAACAGUGAUCAUAAAUAGCCACCAAGUGGAAUGAGUGAUCGCUUAUGGCACAUGUAUUAUGCUUUAUCAAUUUAAUCGGUUAUUUCAAAUCAAAGUUUGUGUUUUUUUUUAUUUUUUGUAUGAGUGGUUUAUUAUUAGAUUUACUUUACAAAAAUAUAGAAAUAGAUUGAUUUAUAUUUCAUAUUUGUGUACAGUUUCCUUUUAAUAAAAUUUUCUCAAAAAAAUAAAAAAUAAAAAUAAAGAUGUACCUCAUCCAUUUUGAAGCUCUCAUCUUCAAAGAACUUUGACUAACCCAAAAUUCUUGCAUGAUCGGGAUGGAGAUAUCAAAGCCAUUGUUGCUUUUCGAUUCCAAGACAAUUGAGGCCAGGGAUGAUCAAAUGAGCCGAUCCAUUGGAUAUUUGCUCUGAUUGAUUCGAAUGAAGCGGAUAAAUUUGAUCCAAAUAGUGGUGGAUCAUAUAUAGAUUUUUAAAAUAAAAUCUGCGCAGAUAUGGAUCGGAUAUGGAUAUAGCAUAAUCCGAUCAGAAUUCAUUCCGCAAAAGGUAAUUUUAUGUUUUUCUUAUAUUUCUAAAAUUGUUGAUUAUAAUUCUAAAUGUGCAGUUGGCUCUAUUCUAUUUUUCUUUCUUUUCUAUUUAUACAUAUUUUAAAUCAUUAUCUCCAACUCUUUCACCAUUUUCACAUUUUUUUUAAUCUCUAUUUCAAAUAAAAGAAUAUAAGUCGAGUAUUACGACCACUAGCAUGCAUUUUUUUUGCGCUUAAUAAUUCUUAAAGUCUCUUCUAAUAUCAUAUUAUACAAUAUUUCAAUUAUUGUUAAGAAUUUUUGUAUUUUCAAGCACAAUAAAUAAUAUGAAUUUUUACUAAAUAAUUAUUUUUUAUUUUUCUUUUAAACAUAAUAAAAACGGAUAAUAUUCGAUCCGAAUUCGAGUGGAGUGGAUAUAGACAUGGAUAUAUGAGAAUAUCUUCGCGAAUCGGAUAUGGAUUUUUCAUAAUCCGAUCCGAUCCAUGAUCAUCCCUAAUUGAGGCCCUCGAUCCUAAGAAGUUCUCAGAACGGAAGCAUUACAUCACGAUCAAAGGGCUAUUAUUAAGCACCUUGUUAAACUUUAUUGCUGGUUUACUCGACUUGAUCAAGUCAUGCAUUUGGAAUAGAGAUGCAAAAGAAAGAGAAAUGACAUGCCACCAUGAGAGAGAGAAAUUCGCUACUCUUGACAAAAUAAGUCGUUUCUUCUCUUCUUUAAUCAUAGGCAAUAUUCUGAGAACGGAAUUGGAGAAUGAACCGUAAAGGUAGAGUUCGCUGGAUCAGAGAGUGUGAUCGGUUUAAUAUGGUUUAAACGGGUUUUAUAUAUAGUAUUUUAAAUAUAUUUUUAAAUCCAAUUAAAAAUAUAAAAUUUAUAAAUACUAAAUAACUUUUUUUUUAAAAAAAAAGAUGUAUAGAAAAUAACAAAGAGUAUAAAAUUCUGAAAUAUAGAGUUGUAUAUUUAGUAUAUCAAGAUGUAUAAUCAAAAAUAUAAUAUCAAUAUAAAUAACUAUCAAGUAUAUCUAAUCAUAAAUAUAUUUAAUAGAAUAUUACUAUAUAAAUUAGUGUAAUCAUAAAUAUAUUAGUAUGUAAUUAUAAAUAAUUAUCAAAAUAUAUAUAUUUAUAUUACAGUUAAUAUUUAUAACAGGAAAAUAUCUUUAGUAUAUAUUUAGUGUUAUCAAAAUGUAUAUAUUUAUGAGUAGUCAUCGAGAUGCGUAGAUAAUUAUUUAUCAAUAUUAAAUAAAUAUUUCAUAAAAAAUACUAAAUAAAUAUAUGAUAAGUACAAAAUAAUGAAAUAUAGAAUUUCAAAAAUACAUUAAAGCUUUCUUUAUUUUAUUAUAUUAAAAUCUUUAAUUUCAUUGAUAUAAAAUAAGCAUUAGCUAUAAGAAUAUCAUACAUAAUAAUCCAAAAAAAAAGAAUAAAUCUUAAUUAAAAAUUAAAGUUAAAUAUCUUUUUAAUAUCAAUUAAAUUCAAUCAUCAUAUAAAAAAUUUAAUCACAAAUUCAUCUUUUUCAAAAAAAAAAAAAACGUACUACAAAAUCAAUAUAUAUAUAUAUAUAUAUAUAAUAUAUAUAUAUAGCAAGCAUUUUUUUUCCCUAGAAAGUUGACAUGUGGCAUAUCUACUUGGCAUUUUAUUUUGACAUGUGAUAUAUUUAUCCAAUUAGGCUUCCACUUGACAUGGUUUGAUUUGAUUAUUUAAUGUAUUAAUGUAUUAGUGUGGUUUGGUUUGAUGUGAAUUUUACAAUUAGUGUUUCUGAUUUGAUUUGGUUUGAUUAUUCAAUGUAUUAAUGUAUUAGUGUGGUUUGGUUUGAUGUGAAUUUUACAAUUAGUGUUUCUGAUUUGAUUUGGUUUGAUUUGAUUAUUUAAUAUAUGGGUUUGGUUUGAAUUUAUUUUGAAUUAGUGUUUUUGGUUUAGUUUGACUUGAUUAUUUAAUGUAUUAAUGGUUUUAAGUUAUUAUUAUUAAUUAUUAGUUUUCAAAAAAUGAUAAAGUUUAAUAACAAACGUUUUCGUGUAUUAAUGGCUUCAAAUUUGUGAAGUUACAAAAAUAUUUCAACACUUUAUUAGUGUAUUAAUGUUUUUAAUAUUUGAUUUGUUUAUUUGUGCAGUUUUAUUAGUGUUUUCGUUUAAUUUUUUAAAAAAUUUUAAAUUGCUCACUCAAAAAAAAAAAAACUUUCUUAAAAAUACUAUAUAUAUAAGUUGUCUCACUAUAUUUUCAUGUAUUUUUGACAAAAGUGUAUUGGUCCCUCUUUUUAAAUAUAUUAUUCUUUUUUUUUUUAAAUUCAGAAUUUUCUGCAUUUCAACUAUUUUCACUAAUGGAGUAAGUAAAUUUUACUCAAACUUUUUUUUUUGUCUCCUUUUUUAAAGAUUAUUUAACAUUUUUUUGCAGCCGUAAACUAUGAAACAGAAGUGAAAAGUACGAUAUAAUUGAAAAUUUGAAUACAAAUAGAGAUGAUUGGAAAAUAAAAUGUCACGACCCAAUUUCAUGGGCCGGACCGGCACUAGAGCCCAGGUAAGCUUAAGGCCCCCGAGGCCCGUAGUAAGCCUGAAACACUAAAAAUUUACUAUUUCAAUAUAAUUUUAAACAUUCAGCCCAUACUUAUAGGAAAAUAAACCUCAAGAUUCUAUUAAGUCUCGGCCCAAAUUUAUCAGCUACAACAUUCCACAGUUCGGGCCCAAUUAACAAUACGUCACAUUUUUAAUAUGGGCUCACAUAAUUAUAUCAUCUAUGUUAAUACAUGACUAAUUGUACACAAAUUCUACAACUGCGGAGUCACUAACUACUUGGUAUACAUAGCUUUUUAUACAUAUAAUUACAUAGUAAAAUAAUUUAAGAAACUGGAAAAUUUUUCUUCUAUUGCCCUGCGCCGAAGAAACAUAGCCUAAAUCGGAUUAAAGAAAAACUUACUUCCUGAAAAAUCAAAUAAGACAUGUGAGUUUUCUAAGGAGUAAUAAUUAUUGCACAACACACGCGGUCACACAAAUAUGUAAACAUAUCAAUCUAGUCAUCCGACUAAUUAUAUGCUCACGCAGCCAGUCAGUCACCGAACCCCCGAUGAGCCGUCCUCCCACAUGGCCCAUCCUCUCAUAACGUGUGCACCAGGGAGCCGAUCCCCCAUACUGGCCGACCGGUCUAAUCCUCACUUGACCAGCCCUCUCAUUGUUUUUCCAUUCUCUCUUUUCUUUUCCAUACCAACAGGAGGCAACCCGGUCGUCUCCAUCAAAUCUAGAUCAUCAGGCGCUCACAACAGGAGGCCACCCUGUGGGCUACGAUCAAAUCUAGAUUGUCCAAUGCGCAACGACGAGCGGCCAUCCUGUGGUUAACGGUAGGUGCACACGGGGGCGCCGAUCUCCCAUUUACUCGGCUAACGGUAAUGGAUCCAUAUAAUGGUGACGGUAUAUAACGAUAACGGUAAUCAGGAUCCAUAUAACGGUAAAGGUCUCACAAACCCAUGGUGACCCACUUCAGCCCAAUCACACACAAACAUGGCAAAGCAUGGUCACAUCACAACUAAUCAAGCAUUGCAAUUAAAUGCAAACAUAUUGAUCAGUUACACAUCGGAAUGCAAUGCACGAUUAGACUUUCAUACUCAAAUGCAAACAAAUAGAUAAAUAAUAUUAACAAACAAUAAUAAUGAAAAUAAAUAAGUAAUUGAAUAAUUAAAUAAAUAAUGAUGAUAAUGAAAUAAUUAGAGCACUUAUUUAUCAUGUAUUAAAUUAUAGAAUUAAUCUAAAUAAACUUAUUAAUUAUGUUGUCAAUUAAACUAGUCUAAGUUCUAUCGAAAUUUCGACAGCACCUCCCCUAAAAAUGGGACUAUCCAACCUGUUUAAAUAUCUCAAUAACUCCCAAUAACACUAAGUAUUUUUCAAUCAAUACACACAGCCCAUCCAUCGGGCAAUUAAACAAAUUUAUUUCCCUUCCUCCAUCCAAAAUAAUCACAUCAAUAUUUAAUCGUCAAUGUCAAACUUUAACUUACUAUAUAACAUUAAGUAAAUAAAUAAAUAAGCAAAUAAGUGAAAAAUAACUAUUUGCUUAACCUCCACACGUUACUAGUUAAACUAUCUAAUACAGACCCUUAACAAUCAUAUAAAACUAUAGCUUAUGUAUUCAAUAAUCAUUAACUAAAUUCGGAGUUUUUCGAUAUCAAAAUUAUAUAUUACACAUUAACUAACCAAUCCUUAGCAAGAAUUAAAUUUACAACUUCAUUGGACCAUGAUAUCAAACAACAAUUUACCUUUAAAUAAUGUGUUUGAUUAGUCCUUGAGUGCAUAGAUACAUAUAUAAGCAUAAGUGCAUAAUUAGCUUUCAUGAUUGAUUCUUUUCUAUAUUCUUUAAUUUGUACCUCACAUAUAAAACUUCAAGCUCAACCAUUGCAUACACAAGUAUAUAAAUAUAUCCCAUAAAUCAUUUAUAAUUUAUACAUGUCUUUCUUUCUUCAUACCAAUACUAGAACCGAAUUUCUAAUCAAACUCACAUAUAUAUAUACACUUAAUAGUUCCAAAUUAACUAAUUAACAAAUUAUAUUAACCUCCAAGCAUGAUUCAAUGAUACUAUUAAUUGCUCUAAAACUAUUCACUUGACUAAGCCUUAAUUUAUAACUUCUCCUAACAAUAUUUAUCCAAAUUCCUAAAUUAGCUUACAUCAAUAUUAUACUGAUUACUUCUUAACAAAAUUAUAUGUGUUUGAUUAUUCAUCCAAAUUCAAUUUAAUUAACUAAUAAUUAUUAAUUUUAUAAUUUAUACCGAAGAUAAAGAAACUGGUCUUAGAACGUACCAAUUGAGAAUCGGGCGGCGAUUCCAUGAUCAGCGCGAAGAGUAGAGAAUUCUGUCUCUCAGGGCCUCGCUGGAGUGUCGCCGGCCGGUCACCGAACCUCCGGCCGCCGUGCACGGUGGCCGGAAAACCGGUUGUGGCCAGAUUUGAGCAGCGCUUAUACCAAAAUGCUCAAAAUCUUAUGGGGACUCCGAUUCCGUGAUCCACUUGAACUGGGCGUGCCCUUUCUGGCCAGAAAUGACCCCCGACAGUUGCUUUGCCACUGCCAUCCAUGGCGUUUCCGUCGGUUGAGCCCUAUCGCCGAAAUCAAUGGAAGAGGAAGACUCGCUCGGAAGCAAGGAGUCGAUUGGUGGUCAUUUCAUGGAGUGUCUUUGCCGGCGUCGACGGGAUUCGCCAAAAUACUUGACUCGGCGGUGUCGGAAUAUUUUGGCUCGAUUUCUUCCAUACACACUCUCAAUCGCACAUCCAGAGGCCAUAAUGGAGCUCCCCUCGUCGAGAAGAUGGAUUCCGACUGGUGUUGCGCCUGAAUCCAUGGCCGUUUGGCCGGAAAACGGGAAGGAAGCGGGUGGCGGGGGCUGUCGCGCGCUGAAGAAGAAGAAGAGAAAAGAAAAAAAAGAAAGGAGAAAGGCGGUUUCUAGCAAACUCUAGGCCAUUCCGGUUCGAUUCAAACCGGUUUGGUCGGAUUUAGUGAUUUGGUCUCAUUUCGUUUGAUUUUCAAGUUUUUCACUCGGUUUUUUGGAUUAUUCGUGUGGUUCUCGACAAAUUAAAAUGAUUUUUGGGUCUGGUUCAAUUUAUUUUAACUGUUUAGUUCGGUUCCGUCAUAUUUUCUCUAUUUACUCGAUAAUAAUAAUAAAAAUAUUAAUAGUAACAAUAUUUUGAUUUUAGGAAAAUUAAUUUAUAUAUAUUCAUAAUAGAUUAAAUUGCUGUAGUUUUAUAUUAUUUCUCGAAAAUUUUAACUGUUCUCAAAUCAAAAAUUUCCGAUGAUAUAUUUCGGCUUAGGCCCAACUCGCAAACUUGGGCUCAAAUUGAGAUUUUAUUCUACUUGCAGCCCACCCGAUCAAAAUUUCUGAUUUUUGAUUUAAUAAAAAUUCAAAAGUUUCAAAAAUAAAAAUUCGGGGUAUUUCAUAAAAAGGGUAUCACGAUUAUGGAGUGUGUCCUUUAACAAUAGUAGAGAUUUUACGAGUACAGAGAUGGUAUUGCUGAAUGAAAAUGUUAAAUAUAAUAUUUUACAUUUUAUUAUUUACAUAACCAAUUAAAAAUAAUGUUAUCAUUUUCAAUAUUUGUAUGUAACCAUUUUUUUAUAUUUGUUAUUGUAGAUAAAUUAUAUGCUAUGUAGGGGUGGCCAAAAUCCGGUUUUCGGAACUAGAACCAUCGGUUCCGAACCGGUGGGAACUGGAACCGAAACCGGUAGGAACAGAAAUCGGUCUGAACCAGAACUGGAACCGGUCCGAACCGGUUCGAUUUCGAUUCCACCAGUUUUGGAACCGUGAAACAGCGGUUUCAGUUCCAGUCAGAACCGAUUGUUUCAGUUCCGUCUGAAACCAGCCGGAAUCAUCCGAAACCGACCAGAACCGAUCUAAAACCGGUAGGAACCGUCGAAAAAUCGAUGAUUUUGGAACCGUUAAGGAACCGGAAUCGAAAUCGAAAUUGAAACCGUUCGGUUCCAAACCGUAACCGGAACCCAAACCAGUGGUUCCGGAACCGUGGCCACCCCUAAUGCUAUGUUUUUAAGACUUAGUUCUUUUUAUCUAAUGAUGUAAAAACCUUUUACAUAAACUGUCAGUUUUAAUUCAGCUUCAAAUUAAUCUCAUUUUCGAAUAUUUGUACUAACAGUCCUUAAUGUUGUUGAAUUAUUAUUUGAGAUUGUUAAUUUAAUUAGUAUUACUUUCUAUUUUUUAUUUUUAUUAUAAUAUUUCAAAUUAAUUAAUUUUGAUAUUAGUUGACUAAUUGUUUGGUAGUUUUGCUUUCUAAUUUAUUUUUAGUAUAAAGGGAGAGAUUUUCAAUUUUAAACAUUGAUACUUGAUUUAAAAUAUUAUCAUUUAUUCUCAAAAAAAAAAAAAAAAAAAUUGUCAUUCAUAUCACUACAUUUAAGAAGUAAUUGAGGUGAAAUUAUAAUUGAUAAUAGAAAUAUUUUUCAUGAGAUAUUUCUUACCAUGUUCUUUUUUUUUUUUUCAAAUAAAAGCAUAAGCUAUAAAAAAAUAGUUAAUCAAAUAAAUUAAUUUUUGGUCUCUAGGAAGGAAUUCUGAAAGCUGCAAAUCAAUAUCUCUAAGAUAAGGUAAUAAUAAUAAUAAUAUCAUUACCUAUUCAAUAAAAAUUAAAAAAUUAUGUAGAAACACAUGAAUCUUACCGCUAUAUAAUAUUUUUUUUUAUUAUUAUUUUUUGCAGAUAGAGGAGAAUAUCGAGAUUACUGACUUUGCAUCAAUGACCACUAAUAUUCCAGAUCCACUAACUAUACAAAAUGAGAUAUUUCAGUUUUAGAAAUAGUUUGAUGGGUUUAUGCAUAUAUAAGUAAUAUAGUCUGUAAGAUGUUUUGGUUGAAUUUGAAGUUUAAUGGAUUGUUAUAUAUCAAUUAUUAUUAUUAUUAUUAUAUAUGUAGGUUGCUUAUGAGAUGGAAUGUUCCCAAUAAUGUUGUCCUUAAACUAAAUAUUAUUAAUGAAUAUUUAAUAUAAUUAUUUGGCUUGGUAUUUUAUCAUUAUUAUUAUUUUAUAUAAUUAGAUGAAAUUAUUUGGUGGUCUUUCUUUUAUUGUCAUUUAAUUUUCACAUGAAUCUUUUGUGUUAGAAUUACAUGAUCAUAUAUUUAUACAUGAUAUGUAAAAGUGGAUGGGUUAAAUACCUACCUUUUAUAGCGCAACAGAUGAAAAACCAUUACCCUUAUAUUACUAGGUUACUCAUCUUAGAAGUAAUCACAAAUAACAAACUACUCCUCUUGUCUAUGGUAGAUUCAAACUUCAUUGUAAUCAAUUAGAAUAAUAAUUAAAUAGUAUUAAUUAAUUAAACACAUUUAGAACUGAAUACACUAGUCAUGUAUGCAUACAUGUCCAUUAAUUCCAACAUUUUGCAACAAAAGAAAUCAUAGUUUGUGAAUUAGGUUGAACAUGAACCUAAUUGGAUUAAGUUUUAUUCGACAAUAAUUUUUCCUGUAGCAUUUAACAUUUUAACUAUGGUCAAAACACUAUCUUUGUUAUGUUUAUUUUGGUGGUGAUGUAGUAUUUAUAUUAAUGUUUAGAAUUUGAGACAACAGAUUAUGAAAUACUAUUCCUUUUAACUUUUAAUAAAAUGUGUUUUGCCGAACAUGCCCCAGUUAGAGUAUGUUAAUUGAAAGUUAGAGUAAGUUAAUUGAAAGCGAACUAUUAUUGAAGCUCUAUUUGUUUUCGUAAAAUAAUUUGCAAGAAAAUAUUUUCUACAAUUUUCCGUUUUUUGUGACGUUCAAAAAAAUAAGUCAAUGGAAAAUAUUUUUCUGGUCAAAGGAAAAUUAACUCAUUUUUUAAGGAAAACAACUUUCCAUUUGCGAGAGAGUAAAACAUUUUCCGGAUAUUGACAAAUCUUAUAAAUCCAUAUUUUUUAAUAUUUUAAUCAUCAUAGUCACUACUACCAGUCACCAUUUAUCACCUGCCACCAUCACCGACUUUCAUAAUUUAUAUAUAUAUUUUUUUUGCAUUCUUUUCAUAUUUAAGAAUAAAAUUUUAACUUAUAAAAUUUCUAUUAUUAUUAAUAUUUUUAUGGUUUUAUGAGAUAAAAGACUUUAAUAUUUUAACUAAUUUUCAAUAUUACAACCAAACAACAAAAACAAGUUAUUUGGAAAAUAUUUUUCCUGAAAAAUAUUUUUCAGUAAGUUAUUUUAUGCAAAUAAAUGGAGCUUUAGUUUUCAUAAUUUACUAAAACUUGUAAAUAGAAAUUUUUAUUUUCAAAAAAAUUAAGUGGUCUCUUUAUUAUAUUAUCGUUUAAUUUAAUUUUUAACAAGGGUUUUUAACUUUUUUGUUUUAUUUUUAUUCUUUUUUUACACACUACUAAAAAAUCAAACUUUAAACCUUUUUCUUUUAUCCUAAGUAUCACUACUUUUAAUUUAGAAAAUCUGAUUUUUUUUUUAGAUUAAAUUAUUAGAUAGAAGUUGAGAGUAAAAAUUUUUUAAUUUACAAAACUUAUUUAAAGAAGAUUUGCUGAAGCCCUCUUGUUCUAAAUCUGUACUCUACCCAAUACCAUGACCAACUCCAUCCGUGUACUAGUUUUACUAUGCAUAGGGACCAAAUAAUAAAAAGUGAUAAAGAAGAUAAAUAAAAGCAUUAAAGACAUCAUCAAAAUUCCAGUAAAUGAAAAUAAAAAAAUUUUUUUAUUUAAUUUUCUUCAAUUGAUUAACAAAAAAAAAAAAAAAAUUGUAAUCAAUUAGAAUAAUAAUUAAAUAGUAUUAAUUAAUUAAACACAUUUAGAACUGAAUACACUAGUCAUGUAUGCAUACAUGUCCAUUAAUUCCAACAUUUUGCAACAAAAGAAAUCAUAGUUUGUGAAUUAGGUUGAACAUGAACCUAAUUGGAUUAAGUUUUAUUCGACAAUAAUUUUUCCUGUAGCAUUUAACAUUUUAACUAUGGUCAAAACACUAUCUUUGUUAUGUUUAUUUUGGUGGUGAUGUAGUAUUUAUAUUAAUGUUUAGAAUUUGAGACAACAGAUUAUGAAAUACUAUUCCUUUUAACUUUUAAUAAAAUGUGUUUUGCCGAACAUGCCCCAGUUAGAGUAUGUUAAUUGAAAGUUAGAGUAAGUUAAUUGAAAGCGAACUAUUAUUGAAGCUCUAUUUGUUUUCGUAAAAUAAUUUGCAAGAAAAUAUUUUCUACAAUUUUCCGUUUUUUGUGACGUUCAAAAAAAUAAGUCAAUGGAAAAUAUUUUUCUGGUCAAAGGAAAAUUAACUCAUUUUUUAAGGAAAACAACUUUCCAUUUGCGAGAGAGUAAAACAUUUUCCGGAUAUUGACAAAUCUUAUAAAUCCAUAUUUUUUAAUAUUUUAAUCAUCAUAGUCACUACUACCAGUCACCAUUUAUCACCUGCCACCAUCACCGACUUUCAUAAUUUAUAUAUAUAUUUUUUUUGCAUUCUUUUCAUAUUUAAGAAUAAAAUUUUAACUUAUAAAAUUUCUAUUAUUAUUAAUAUUUUUAUGGUUUUAUGAGAUAAAAGACUUUAAUAUUUUAACUAAUUUUCAAUAUUACAACCAAACAACAAAAACAAGUUAUUUGGAAAAUAUUUUUCCUGAAAAAUAUUUUUCAGUAAGUUAUUUUAUGCAAAUAAAUGGAGCUUUAGUUUUCAUAAUUUACUAAAACUUGUAAAUAGAAAUUUUUAUUUUCAAAAAAAUUAAGUGGUCUCUUUAUUAUAUUAUCGUUUAAUUUAAUUUUUAACAAGGGUUUUUAACUUUUUUGUUUUAUUUUUAUUCUUUUUUUACACACUACUAAAAAAUCAAACUUUAAACCUUUUUCUUUUAUCCUAAGUAUCACUACUUUUAAUUUAGAAAAUCUGAUUUUUUUUUUAGAUUAAAUUAUUAGAUAGAAGUUGAGAGUAAAAAUUUUUUAAUUUACAAAACUUAUUUAAAGAAGAUUUGCUGAAGCCCUCUUGUUCUAAAUCUGUACUCUACCCAAUACCAUGACCAACUCCAUCCGUGUACUAGUUUUACUAUGCAUAGGGACCAAAUAAUAAAAAGUGAUAAAGAAGAUAAAUAAAAGCAUUAAAGACAUCAUCAAAAUUCCAGUAAAUGAAAAUAAAAAAAUUUUUUUAUUUAAUUUUCUUCAAUUGAUUAACAAAAAAAAAAAAAAAAUCAGCAAAAACUUUCAUGGAAGGUUAUUUAGUUGAUCAUAAUAAAAUUGAUAGCUUAUGUAAUUGAUUUUUAAAAAUAGAGGUCAUAACUUGCAGGUUUUGCUAAAUCAUAAGGACUAAAUAAUCAUAUACUCUAAUAAUUCAAUUAAAUUCGAUUAGAUUCUAAUUGUCAAGUUGGGCUUGGUUUCGUUACCCCAGCUCCACCUUGAGGGGGGCGUGAAAGAGUAUGAACAGCCUAAGGGCCAACAUCAGCAACAAAGCAAGAAGGAAGAAUCAAGAGGCUGCUAUUCUAACCAAAAUCAGAAAACCUAAAACUAAAAGAUAACAUUUUUUAUUUAUAUUAAACCCACACACCAUACCUGUUUCACUUAACCUGAAUCUGUGUAACAAAUCCAACUCACCCAUUAACCCAUAUUAUACAACUGUAAUUUUGUUACAUGAGAUAGUAUACAAUACAGUAGGUUCCAGAGUAAGGAAAUAUAGCACAAUUGUAAAUAUAAAUAGCACCCAGACUUUGAGAAAAGAGGAGAAAUACACUUGUUUACUUUCUUUUUAUGGUAUCACAGCCUCCUCUGAUAUCUGAAGUUCUAAAGCUUUCUUCAAGCUUCCUUCCUGAAAUUAAUGGCAGAAACUUAGAAUCAAAACAAUGAAAACACAAAUGUUGAAUCAGAGACUUAUAAGGUUUCAGCAUCUGAAAAUUCAGCUUCAAACCUCAUUAAUAUGUCCUUGAAUGGCCGUAAUUUCUUGUCAUGGAGCAGAUCUAUGACCAUAGCCUUGAAGUCUAGGGACAAAUAUGAAUUUGUCACUGGUGAAGAACAGGAACCUGCAGUUGGGUCUCCAUUGAGAAAGAGAUGGCAGAGGAUCGACAAUCUGGUAACAUCUUGGAUCUUGAACUCUAUUUCUAAAGAUCUAGUUGAGUCAUUUCUGUAUUAUCCAAGUUCCAAGGAUCUUUGGAAUGAACUGACCACCAAGUAUGGUGAAUCUAAUGGACCUAUGAUUUACCAAAUAAGGAAAGAUAUUUCAGUAACUAUGCAAGGUAACCAAACAGUAGCCAAUUACUACACUAAGCUGAAAAUACUCUGGGAUGAGUUGGCUUGUUUAAGGCCCAUUCCCAAAUGCACCUGUGGAAUUGUAGAAAGGUGUACCUGUGGUGUUAUGAGAGCAGCCCCAGAUCUAGAUGGUGAGAAGAAACUUAUGCAGUUCCUCUUAGGACUGAAUGAUACAUAUGACAAUGUUAAAAACCAAAUUCUACUUAUGGAUCCAUUUCCAAGCAUGAGCAAGGGCUAUUCAAUGGUACUAAGUGUUGAAAAACAGAGGGAGGUGAAUACUGCAAUCUAUGACUCAAGUGAGAAUAGCAGUGCAAUGUAUGUGCAAAAAUCAAACUACAACAGUAGAAAUACAAGAAUAAUUCCAGAUCUAAAGCUGACAAGCACUGUGAUCACUACAAUGGGACUGGCCACACUAGAGAGACUUGUUUUAAACUAACUGGUUAUCCCGAUUGGUUUAUUGAACUCAAAAAGAAGAAGAAAGCUCAAGCACAUUAUGGACAAGUAGAUGAUGAACAAUUGAGUGUUAACUCAGGAGACAAUGAGAAUGAUGUAUCCAAAAUGGUGAGAAUGGAGGUCCAGCAUGCAAUCAAAGGCAAGAUGCAGUAUGAUGAUAAGGCAGGGGAUACACCUACAGCUCAUGCAGUCAGUUUUGUAGGUAUUAUCUCUCAUUUUCAUUAUAAUGUGCAUGACAAGUAUGAAUUACUUCCAUGGAUUGUUGACACUGGUGCAACUGAUCAUAUGACAUACAUGCAUAAUCUAUUUCAUACAUUAACCAAAUUACCUAAACCUAGAACAGUAACUCUACCUGAUAACUCCACCAGAACUAUAACGCAUGUUGGCAAGGUCAUAAUACAUGAUAGACUGGUAUUAAAUGACGUGUUAUAUAUACCAACAUUCAAAUGCAAUUUGUUGUCUGCAUCAGCCCUUACAAAGGACAAUGCACUAUCAGUGAAAACACUACCUAACCAUUGUUUGUUAUAGGAUUUGCAGACUGAUGAAGUAGUAGCUAUUGGCAAGUUGUAUGGAGGCUUAUAUUUUCUUGAUAAGAAGUGUUUUGUACCUAUUACUACUAUUAAAGCUUUACUUACUUGUACUAAACAUGAUGAUCAUUUGAAACUGUUAUGGGCCUUAGAUUGGGUCAUAUUUCUAUGGCUAGACAAAAUCAUUUAAUAAAUUUAGAUACAAACAGUGGUUCUUUUGAAUGUAGUGUUUGCCCUCUUGCAAAGCAACAAAGAUUGCCAUUUUAUCCAAGUUGUAAUAUUGCUAAAGGCAUGUUUGAUGUAGUACAGACUGACCUAUGGGGACCCUAUCCUAUCACUUCUUUAACUGGUGCCAGAGACAUGAUUACUAUAGUGGAUGACUAUAGUAGAUACACAUGGGCCUACAUGUUACCAAAUAAACAACAAGUCCACUCAAUUCUUGACCACUUUACUAACCUAAUAGACACCCAGUUUCAUACAAGAAUCAAAACAAUAAGGACUGAUAAUGGCACUGAGUUUGUNNNNNNNNNNNNNNNNNNNNNNNNNNNNNNNNNNNNNNNNNNNNNNNNNNNNNUCCACAACAAAAUGGGAGAGUGGAGAGAAAACAUAAAGAAAUUUUGAACAUUGGGAGAGCCCUUCUAUUUCAGGCUAAGUUUCCUAAGACCUUUUGGUAUGAGGUUCUCCUAUCUGCUGUUUACCUAACCAAUAGAGUGCCAUCCGCACUCUUAGAAUGGUUAAGCCCUUUUGAAAAACUAAACCAAAUACAAUCAGACCUGAAACACUUAAGAGUUAUUGGCUGCUUGUGUUUUGCAACUAAUACUAAACCACACAAAGACAAGUUUGAUCCUAGAGCUAAACCAUGUGUAUUACUGGGUUAUGAGGCUCAACAGAAGAGUUACAAGCUAUAUGACAUGCACUCUAAGCAGAUUUUCUACUCAGGGGAUGUUGUGUUCAAGGAAACAGUUUACCCCUUCCAUCACAACACCCUUCUUGAGUCAUGUACAUUUAAGAUACCAGACUGUUUAGAUGACAAUGACCAACAAAUUCCAGAACACACAAACACUAUACCUGAAACCACAAUACCAGCAACAUAUGAAAAUAUGACUACCCUUGACCAAACAAGACAACAGACUACAACAGCACCUGAACCAGAACACCAACAAUACAUACAAAAUAACCAGAAAGAACUUGCUCAGACUUUACAACCAGAACAACCAGUUCAACCACUUAGAAGAAGCACAAGAAAUUCAAGGCAACCAGCUUGGAUGAUAGAUUAUGUAACCAAUUGUGCAAAUUCAAAUUCCACCCAUUUCCUUCCCAACUCACCCUAUUCACAUGCAUAUGCAUCUUUUGCAUCUAAUGUCAACAAAAUCAGAACCAUUAUCAUAUAAUCAUGCUAUUUUUAAUGAAAAUUGGGUGCAAGCAAUGCAAACUGAUCUAAAAGCGUUAGAAGAUAAUGGUACUUGGGUCUUAACUGAGUUACCUAAAGGGAAAAGGGCCAUUGGAUACCGAUCGGUCUACAGAGUCAAAUACAAACAAGAUGGGACUAUAGACAGGUAUAAGGCUCGCCUGGUUGCUAAAGGGUUCAAUCAAAAACAGGGCAUUGAUUACAAUGACAGCUUUUCUCCUGUUGCUAAAAUGGUGACUGUAAGGAUCCUGUUUACCCUAGUAGCUAAAUAUCAAUGGACUCUUCAUCAACUUGAUAUUAACAAUGCCUACCUACAUGGUUAUAUUGAUGAAGAUAUCUUCAUGCAACCUCCAGCUGGCUAUUCUAAGGCUUCUAAAGGCCAAGAGUGCAAAUUGACUAAGUCACUUUAUGGACUUAAGCAAGCUGGCAGAAUGUGGAACCAGUAGUUGACAAACACAUUACUCCAGUACGGAUUUCAACAGUCAGUGAAUGACCACUGCUUAUUCAUAAAAGGGGAAGAUAAUUACUUUCUAGUGCUUAUUGUCUAUAUGGAUGACAUUUUAGUUGCUGGGCCUAACAUUCAACUUGUAUGCAACAUUAAGGAGUUUCUACACUCUAGAUUUACUAUAAAGGACCUAGGUGAUGCAAGAUUUUUCUUGGGAAUUGAAAUCCUACGGUCUACUGAUGGCAUCUACUUAUCACAGCAGAAAUUCAUUCAAGACAUGCUGUUAGAUUCAAACAUACAGCAAGCAAAACAUGCAUCCACGCCAUUAGUAUAAGGUUAAAAGCUUCAAGCAAACAUGGGACCAUUACUCACAGAACCAGACUGUUGUAGAAGGUUAGUGGGGAGACUACUUUACUUGAGCUUCACCAGACCAGACAUCACUUACUUAAUACAGCAGUUGUCUCAACACAUGCAAAACCCUUGUCAGGGUCACAUGGUAGUUGCUUCUCAUGUUCUCCGUUACUUAGCCUCCACAACAGCUUUGAAAUUGUUCUUCCCUACUUCAUCUACGCUUGAUCUUAAAGCAUACUGUGAUGCUGACUGGGGGGCUUGCCCCGAAACUCGACGGUCACUCACAGGCUGCUGUAUAUUCAUGGGUUCCUCUAUUGUGUCAUGGAAAAUAAAAAAACAGUAGGUGGUCAGUCGCUCUUCUGCUGAAGCAGAAUACAGAGCCAUGGCUAAUACAGUGUGUGAAAUCAUUUGGAUUGACAAAAUACUAACAGAUCUGCGGGUAAAAGUAAAAACGCCAGUACCUUUAUUCUGCGACAACCAAGCGGCGCUGCAUAUUGCCGCCAAUCCUGUUUAUCACGAGCGCACAAAGCAUAUCGACAUCGACUGCCAUCUCACUCGACACUAUAUUCAAGCUGGCCUUAUCGACCCAAAGCAUCUCCCUUUAGAGUCACAACUCGUUGACUUCUUCACCAAACUGUUACCCAUCUCCAGAUUUCGGCUGAUGACUGUCAAGUUGGGCUUGGUUUCGUUACCCCAGCUCCACCUUGAGGGGGGCGUGAACGAGUAUGAAUAGCCUAAGGGACAACAUCAAUAGCAAAGCAAGAAGGAAGAAUCGAGAAGCUGCCGUUCUAACCAAAAUCAGAAAACCUAAAACUAAAACAUAAUAUUUUGUAUUUAUAUUAACCCCACACACCAUACCCGUUUCACUUAACCCGAAUCCAUGUAACAAAUCCAACUAACCCAUAAACCCAUAUUGUACAGCUGGAAUUCUGUUACAUGAGAUAGUAUACAAUACAGUAGGUUCUAGAGUAAGGAAAUACAACACACUUGUAAAUAUAAAUAGUAGCCAUUGUAUAGACUGUGAGAAAAGAGGAGAAAUACACUAAUUCUUUAUUUUGUUUACUUUCUGUUCAGAUUCCUUAUUCGAUAUGGUUCGAUUAAUCUUUAUUUGGUUUUAUUAAUUUAAAUCAGUUAAAAAUUUCAUCAAAAUUAGAUGAACUGACUCAAUACUCAAUGCUCAUAGCCUAAAAAUAUCCACCGUAAUGUGAACUUAAUGUAUUUAGGUUAUGUUUGGUUAAAUGUAAUGCAAUGUAAGAAACCUGAAUCUCACGUUCAAAGAAUGAGAUUUAUGUAUUCCCAAUGUCACCAGAAAUAGAGGAUAAAAGAUAAUUUAGUUAAUUUACUAUUGAUUUUGUUAUUAUCUAUGAAUAUUAAUAUCUUCCUUAAUCCUUAUGAAAACCUUAAACGACUUAUAUUUUGUGACGGAGGGAAUAAUUAAUAUACAAUCACCAUCAUUGAGUUUAAUUUUCUUUAUGUUUCAAUACAUUUAAUUUGUCAUUCUUUUAGGGAAAUUUAGUUUGUCGUUUAGUAGUGAAUGACAUUGUAGUUUUAUCCCAUUUAGAAAGACCAAUAUAUAUUUCCUUUAAAGCAAUUGUACUCCUGAUAACAAUUCAACUUUGAUUUCUUUACACAAAUUUAAGGUAUGUUAUAUAUUAUUCAUCUCCAUUUAUGUAUGAAAAUAUAUAAUUCAACAUCCCACGUGUGAACUCUCCUCUAUUAGAAAAGUAGAGCUCAUAAAGGAUGGAUAAUAAAACCAUACAAGCUCUAAUUCUCCCGCAAGAACAAACUCAAGCAAUGGAUUCAAGAAAUGGAUAAUCAGUAUAACCAAUCACAGGAUCAGAUAUGUAAAAUGUUGCUCUAUUGUACUUGUUGAGAGGAGCAUUAAGUUCAAAUCUCUUUGGUAAAUCUGGAUUUGCUAGGAAAUUCCGUCCAUAAGCGAUAAGAUCUGCACGGUUUUCUUCUAUAGCUUUGUUUCCAUCAUCCCUUUCAUAACCUCCAGCAGCAAUGAAAGUACCUUUAAAAGCUUUUCUCAUGGGCAGAAGACUUUCUUUGCAUUCAAAUUUUUCUCCAACUGUUUUCAUUCUUGGCUCAACCAUGUGGCAGUAAACAAUCCCAUAUUUGUUCAAGGAUUCCGCCAUGUAAAGUCCUAAAGCUUUAGGAUUUGAAUCUCCUGCUUCCCCAUAGUUUGCAAAUGGAGAUAAUCUGAUUCCAACUUUGUCUGCCCCUAUUUCAUUAGAUACAGCUUCAACUAUUUCCAAAGCAAAACGGCAGCGGUUCUCUAGAGAUCCACCAUAUUGAUCUGUCCGAUCAUUCACCUGAUCUUUCAAAAACUGGUCAAUAAGAUAACCAUGAGCCCCAUGGAUCUCAACUCCAUCAAAACCUGUCAAAAAAAAAAAAAAAAAAAAAGGAAAUGAAAAAAUAAAUUAUGUAUCGGAGAGUGUAUUCAUGCAUGUGAUUUUUUUUAUGGCUUCAGCUGGAGUUCAAACUUCUGAGUUGACCACACAUCCAUAAGGAUGACCCAAAUGCUAUUGGAAAAAGCUCAUUGGUGCAUGGGAGAGACAUUUGUGAUUAGCGUUUUGCUUUUGAAAGAAACCCUACCAGCUUCUAUGGCGUUUCUUGCAGCAAGUCUAAAAUCAUUCACGAUAUGAGGAAUUUCAUCUGUUCUUAGUCGCCUUGGAGGUGUGAACUGUGCAGCAUCAAUGCCAUUAGCUCGAAUUUGAGGGGUCAAACCUUUGUCUGUUGAAGAGAUUGGAGCCUGCUCAUUUGGCUGAAAACCUAAACAGAGAUAGUAGAAACAACAUAAAGAUCCAGGUUUAAAGAACAAAGCCUUCAUAAAAUAAAGCAGUUUUACCGCAUGAAUUUCAAAAGAAUAAUUAAGAAUCAUUAAAAAUAUCAAGAAUCGAUUCUUAUAGCCAUUUGGAACAGAAAUUCAUUCCACCAACAAACUUCACUAGAGGUUAAAAGCAGGAUUUAAUAAAAACUUUAUUUCCCAAUAUCAAAAAAACACAAGUAAGGCCAAGUAUCAUGCCAAAAAAAAUUGUGCUGAUGAAACUCUAGUGUCGAGAAAUGGUGAAUAUAACAUAAGACUUUUUAGUAAUCUCAAGACUCAAGUUCAUCCAAAGUGACAAAAGAAGCACAAAAUUUAAGUGAUGGAAGCAACACCAAUAUACCAAAUUUAAACAAGAAAG
rnacentral:lncRNA from 1 species